AUACUGUUGCAUUUUUCAUCGAUUGGAAAAUUGUAUUUGCGAGGUGAGUAUUUGUUCUUUUUCUUGACAUGUGAAAGCUAAAAAGAAUUUUCGAGUAAGCAAACAUAUUUAAUGUUUGUAGAAUUUGCAAAUUCGUCAUAGGAGCUAGUCUUGUGGUUUGUAUUAGGGGAAUGGUACUGUUGGUUUUGAUCUUAACUAAGAUGGGGUUUGUUCCCUAUUUCAUGUGGGUUUUUAAUUGCGUUGUGCAAAUGAUGGUUUUAUUGGGCCGGCAUUGCCGAAGCAAUCAACGCAUUUUUCGGUACUAACUGUGACAAUGGUGGCGACAGUGGUGGAGAGAAAAAUAGGCGUCGGCGGUGAAUCGGAAAAAUAAUCUGAGAGCGUCUUGUUGGGAGAAAAAUUGUUGACAGAUUGAAUCUAACCCGAAGUUUUUCCAGCACUUGAAUUAUCUUGUUUUCAAUGUUUUAAAAGAAAUCUUUACGUGUUUUCUGUGACCCUUUUUGCCUUGAUUUGUGAUAAGACUAUCGGUUUAUGCAAUUACUGUUUUUAGCAGGAAAAUUAGUUGAAUGAAAUUUGAAAAGAGGAUGGGGAUGCUUGAGAAGUGAUAUGAUCUAAUUGGAAUUGUUUAUCCAUGCAUUAACUAUUGUGAAUCCAUUUAAAUUUACUACUGUCUUCCGAUUUCUGAUCGUAGGAUAAAAACCACGACACCUUGUAAACAUGUCUGACUUGUUUUAUAUGGGAAGAUGAUAUAACUACAAUAAAUAUAUGUUGAAAAAUA